GGGGCAUCUUCAGCAGGUUGGAGGGAAAGGCAGGUACUGGGUGCCUCCCUGCCCUGCACCAGGGCUAAAGGAGCAGCGGAGAUGGAUGGGGCUGGGAGAGAGUGGAGGAGGAAGGCUCCCGCGAGCAGCCAUCCCACUGGCCCUGUGUGAACUUGGGGAAAUUUGCUCAGGGCAACACUGAAAUAUUUGCAUUUGCUUUUCAGCUCAAGUGUGGGAACAGCCAUAGGAGAAGCUCAGCCAAACCUGCUUCUUCACAACUAGAAACAACCUUUUUCCUCUUUGUAUCCGUGUGCUAUUACUGACCGCAGCAUGCUGUUUGCAUCACACUGACCCACAGAACCCCAGGGCAAUGUGGGCCCUCCUGCAACAGGCACUGCAGAAGCAGCCUAGGAGCACCACGGCUUGGUCCCAUCACUCCCCAGCUCCUCCUGAGAGGAACACUGAAAGAAAAGACUGAGAAAAGGGCUUAAGCUCCUAAAAAUUAAGUGAAAAGGGAGAUGAGCAAAUCCUUGCUGCCUCCAAGAAAGGUUGUAAAAAGGGGCUUGCUAGUGGAUUCCGUAGCAUCUCCUACCUGGUGACACUCCUCUCAUACAGCCUGCUCACAUCUACGCUGUGCCUCUAGAUGACGGCUGAGACAAAGAAAAGCUGAUGACCCCAGAAAGCUGGUGCAUUAAGCAGGGAAUUGCUCACAGUCAGUGCAUUCGACAUGCAGCUGCCUAUGGCUCAUUAGUCAGCAUGGCUGAGAACAGCGGUGGGUGGCAAAUCCCAGCUCCAGAAGCCUUAAUUCAAACACCUUCCUACAGUACUGUGCCUACUGGGAAACCCUUGUCCUGAAAUGAGGGAGGACCACCAAAAAACCAAACCCUAUGUCUGAAAGUGGUGUCCAAACACUCCUUGAACUCUGGCAGCUUGGAGCUGUGACCACCAGCCUUGGGUCCCAGAGCACAUCAUCGGUGUUGAAGGCAGAGGCAAAGAAGCUGGAUAUGCUCAGCAUCUACAACAACACAUCCCAGGCUAGAAUACAGCUGCCAGUGUGAAACACUUCUACAUUUCUCCAUUAGGAUGAUCUUAUUUCUUGGAUCUGAUCAUGUGAAACAGAGGAAGACAACAAACUGUCAGGCAGACCAAUCUCCACUCAGACAUUAGCAGUGGAAGUGUAAUUAGGGAAAUUAAAUGCUAAAUCUGCCUUUUGCUGUAUAUUGCAAGGAAGGAGAUCUUCAUCUAAAACACCAAAUGAUAUUCCUUCCCAUACACUGAAAACCUACCAGAAUGAUCUUACAGUCCCAUCUGACCUAGGGCUGUCAUCAUUCCUGCAUUAUACAAAGGGUGCUUUGCUUUGCAGCAGCUAUAAAAUAAGGA
ensembl:lncRNA